CCCUCUCCGGCGCCUCUGCUGGUAACACUAUCCUCUUGGCCGGUUGUGCUCUCUUGCUCGUGUCGCCUCUGGAUCUAGUUCGAAACCCUAAGUUUGGUGCUCUGAUCUUGAACUUCUGUUCUUCUUCUUCUGGUCUCUCUCCCGGUCUCCCCUCUACGGCUCCCUCUCCCUGUAACGCUGCGUCGGUGCGUAACCCUAACCGUGCUUUAACCCUAAUCAUCGUGCCGUCGGGGUUGGAUCUGGUGCUCCGGCUUUGGUUGGAGCCGUGAGGUAUCGAUCUGGUGCUCCGGUCCGGCUUUGGUUGGAUCCGUGAGGGACCGAUCUGGUGCUCCGGCUUUGGACCUUUGGUAAGUUAUUAAUCUGAUGC